UUGCGCCGACCGUGCAUCUGCUGCUCAUCUCAAUGAACUCCAAUCUGUGCUUAGUAGGUAACGCUGAGACCCAGGAUGCCGACAGGCUUGACGCGGUCGGCGCGGUUCAACACUCGCAGGUUGUCGCCAAGCCAGAGGACGUCGACGCCCCCGUGCACUUCCCAUGCGCUCUUCGACGGCAUGAACGGCAGUGGCACGCUCGCCACCAGACCGGUGUCGAAAUACCCGAAGCGAUUGCUGCCGGUCGGACCCUCGUAGUAGUCCUUGACGCUCAGUCCCACCUUCACCGGAAUCGCGAGGCUCA
rnacentral:misc_RNA from 1 species